GAUGAACGCUGGCGGCGUGCCUAAUACAUGCAAGUCGAGCGAACGGACGAGAAGCUUGCUUUUCUGAUGUUAGCGGCGGACGGGUGAGUAACACGUGGAUAACCUACCUAUAAGACUGGGAUAACUUCGGGAAACCGGAGCUAAUACCGGAUAAUAUUUUGAACCGCAUGGUUCAAAAGUGAAAGACGGUCCUGCUGUCACUUAUAGAUGGAUCCGCGCUGCAUUAGCUAGUUGGUAAGGUAACGGCUUACCAAGGCAACGAUGCAUAGCCGACCUGAGAGGGUGAUCGGCCACACUGGAACUGAGACACGGUCUAGACUCCUACGGGAGGCAGCAGUAGGGAAUCUUCCGCAAUGGGCGAAAGCAUGACGGAGCAACGCCGCGUGAGUGAUGAAGGUCUUCGGAUCGUAAAACUCUGUUAUUAGGGAAGAACAUAUGUGUAAGUAACUGUGCACAUCUUGACGGUACCUAAUCAGAAAGCCACGGCUAACUACGUG
rnacentral:rRNA from 1 species